rnacentral:antisense_RNA from 1 species
UUGGCGGUGAUGCCCCAGGUGCCGGGCUCGGCGGCGGCCAGCUCCCGCUCGCCGAGGUGGUCGCCGCCGGCGGCCGAGCCGACCACCGAGGGCUCGUCGAACGCCCCCUCGGUCAGCUUGUCGACCUUGCCGUGGGCGAGCAGGACCAGCUCGUCCGCCGGCUGCCCGGCCUCCACCAGCAGCUCCCCGGGGGCGAACUCGCGCUGGGUGAAGCGGUCCGCCAGCGCCUCCAGCACCGCGGUGUCCUCGAAGGCGCGCAACAGCGGCAGCUCGCGCAGCUCGACGGGGAUGACCCGCACCGUCGACCCGGUAGUGGUGAACUCCACCCGCCCGUCGCCGAGCGUGUGCGACGCCCGGCGGUUCACCCGGUACGAACCACCCGGAACCUGCACCCACGGCAGCAUGCGCAGUAGCCACCGCGAGGUGAUGCCCUGCAUCUGCGGCACGGACUUUGUCGUCGUCGCCAGAUUCCGUGCCGCCUCCGUGCCCAGACUCGUGGG